CGGACGGGUGAGUAACACGUGGAUAACCUACCUAUAAGACUGGGAUAACUUCGGGAAACCGGAGCUAAUACCGGAUAAUAUAUUGAACCGCAUGGUUCAAUAGUGAAAGGCGGCUUUGCUGUCACUUAUAGAUGGAUCCGCGCCGUAUUAGCUAGUUGGUAAGGUAACGGCUUACCAAGGCAACGAUGCGUAGCCGACCUGAGAGGGUGAUCGGCCACACUGGAACUGAGACACGGUCCAG
rnacentral:rRNA from 1 species